AAACAGAAAGCAGUUCUGUCUGCUUUCAGGUAGGUCACAGGACCUUGGAAAAUAGCUGCUAGCAAUGAAUGCUGUUUGCAUUUUCAAGAAGUGUUCCUGGUUUUUUCCACUGUGUCCUAAUGAAUUUUUCUAACAGUGGUAACAGCUUCGUAGACAUCCCAGAGCGUGGGGGUGGAACUGCAGUUGGUGUGCUUUGGUGGACGUGAAAUACCCACGUUAAACAAUAAAAUGGGUGUCAGGUGUUCUGGAGAACAUAUUGUUUAGGCAGACAGUGACCUCCCAGACAAAAAACCUCUCUGAAGCCCUCUGCAAACAAAACCUGCCUAUGUAGGAGUGCAUGGCAGAGGACGGACGCGGUCAGACAACAAAGGCCAUAUUGGAGGAGGCACAGCCCUGCAGAUGCUAAUUCACACCGAGCAGCCGCCCUGCACAAAAGCAGCUCAGAUUGAAUUCCCUGCUCCUUUUUGACCAUCAAGGACAUGAAAAAACUUGUAGCAAUAAUGACUGAAUCACCCCUUGGGAAAGGCUUUCUGUGAGAAAGAAGCCAGGCAGAGCCAGCAGAAGACAAGGGGCUGGAAUUGGGGCCGGCUCCAGCCAAAGGUACAAAUGCAAAGCUCAUGCAAAUGCAAACCUCUAUAGGCAGUGCAAGGCUUGAAGAAGGGCAGAGUAAAUAGACAAAAGUAACAGCAAAUAUUGCUGCGCGGAUGGGAGCGCUCCAUUUAGUGGGGCAAUUAACACAUAGGGCCCCCUGCAUGAGGCUGGCUGUUGGGGUGCGCUGCCGCUGCCGUGCAGCCCGUGAUUAUCAUUAGGCCACAUUCAGUCACACAUCCAGGGAGGCUCCUGCUCUGCGCUGGCUGCAUGCUGCUCUCCAUCAGUCCCCAUUGUUUCAUAAUCUCGCUGUACCCGAGGCUUUUUUUAUCCCGAUGAAGUCUGCUGUGUUCGUUACCCUCCCAGUGACUAAGCCAGAGAGCGUUAGCGAUGCAUGAUUUCAUUUGACUCUUUUCUCAGGGUAGCUAAAAGACAGAAGCCUUCUCUCCAUUAAUUGCACAACAUCUCCAGCUUUGCAAUGGCUUGUUUGAGGGGAAGGCACUGAGAUAUGUGUACAUGUGAGAACUGACUGGCAGGAGACAUGUCUGCUCGCUGCCUCCAAGCAUGGCAAAACCCUUCUCAGCAGCUCCGCGCCAACACAUUUGCAUGGCAUGGACAGGGACCCUGCAGGAGUGGGACCAGCACAGCGGCUCUCUCCCUCCAUCCCCCACCGGAUUUAGCAUCGUGAGCCACUGACGUUUACUGGCCCUGAGUUGAGAGGGUGGUAACAUCCUCAACCCAGCAGAGCUGAACUGAUGAAGGUCAUGAAUCAAAUGUUGGACAUGAGGACUUCGACACAGUCAUCCCCUGUCCCAAGAGCAUCAUCUGGCUUUAGAGUCAGCUGAAUUCUGUAGCGAUUAACUCCCCAGUACACAUCAGUUGUGGAAAGAAAAC
ensembl:lncRNA